CAUUUUACAUGAAGUGGCCAGCCAUCAUGUUGUUGUAGACAAUAUGAGCACUUGAUAUCCAUAAUUCAUGGUACAAAUUGAUAAUGGGUUAGAUAAAUGUUCCAUGAUAAUGGAUUAGGUAAAUAUUCCAUGAUAAUAGGUUAGGUAAAUGUUCCAUGAUGGGCAUUUCAUGUCUUUUGUAUUAAAGAAUUAAAUGGAUGAAAUAUGAAAUUUUAUUAAAAGAAAAAGGGGUGAAAAGAACAAAGUUUUG
rnacentral:lncRNA from 1 species